UACGAAGGGGGCUAGCGUUGCUCGGAAUUACUGGGCGUAAAGCGCACGUAGGCGGCUCUUUAAGUCGGAGGUGAAAUCCUGGAGCUCAACUCCAGAACUGCCUUCGAUACUGAAGAGCUCGAGUCCGGGAGAGGUGAGUGGAACUGCGAGUGUAGAGGUGAAAUUCGUAGAUAUUCGCAAGAACACCAGUGGCGAAGGCGGCUCACUGGCCCGGUACUGACGCUGAGGUGCGAAAG
rnacentral:rRNA from 1 species